rnacentral:lncRNA from 1 species
AAGAUUUCUGUCGUUUUGGCAGCCAGAUAUUCCAAUGAUUGUGAUUCAGAUGGGAUGUUAUUUGCUUGGCCAGCAGUAUUUUCGUUGGAGUUGGCCUCUUGAUGGACAGCCAACCCAUAGGCAGAAAGGAGAUUUUCCAGUUUCGUCUGAAUCAAUUGUCCCAUUUACAUCUUCAAAAUCAACACAAAAAUUUCUCAGGUGGGUGAUCUUCGUUUUCUCCAACCUCUUACAAAAUUGGGGAUCCACCAUGAGAUG